UGGGGAAUAUUGCACAAUGGGCGCAAGCCUGAUGCAGCCAUGCCGCGUGUGUGAAGAAGGCCUUCGGGUUGUAAAGCACUUUCAGCGAGGAGGAAGGUGGUGAACUUAAUACGUUCAUCGAUUGACGUUACUCGCAGAAGAAGCACCGGCUAACUCCGUGCCAGCAGCCGCGGUAAUACGGAGGGUGCAAGCGUUAAUCGGAAUUACUGGGCGUAAAGCGCACGCAGGCGGUUUGUUAAGUCAGAUGUGAAAUCCCCGGGCUCAACCUGGGAACUGCAUUUGAAACUGGCAAGCUAGAGUCUCGUAGAGGGGGGUAGAAUUCCAGGUGUAGCGGUGAAAUGCGUAGAGAUCUGGAGGAAUACCGGUGGCGAAGGCGGCCCCCUGGACGAAGACUGACGCUCAGGUGCGAAAAGCGUGGGGAGCAAAACAGGAUUAGAUACCCUGGUAGUCCACGCUGUAAAACGAUGUCGAUUUUGGAGGUUGUGCCCUUGAGGCGUGGCUUCCGGAGCUAACGCGUUAAAUCGACCGCCUGGGGGAGUACGGCCGCAAGGUUAAAACUCAAAGGAAUUGACGGGGUCUAGCUG
rnacentral:rRNA from 1 species